rnacentral:rRNA from 1 species
UACGAAGGGGGCUAGCGUUGUUCGGAAUUACUGGGCGUAAAGGGCGCGUAGGCGGUCCUGAUCGUCGGAUGUGAAAGGCCUGGGCUCAACCUGGGAACUGCAUCCGAUACGGCGGGACUGGAGUGUGGGAGAGGUUGGUGGAAUUCCCAGUGUAGAGGUGAAAUUCGUAGAUAUUGGGAAGAACACCUGAGGCGAAGGCGGGUUGCUGGGCCGACACUGACGCUGAGGCGACGAAAGCCAGGGGAGCAAACGGG